CAUAUUUUGUGUUAUGUAUGGUUUCAGAGGAAAAAAUUCAGCAGAAUCUCUCAGACAUCUACAGUUACAUGUUUGACGAUUUUUUCUCACAAAGUUUUCUUUUUUAUAUUUAAUAUAAAGUCUCUGCAGCUGUAAGCAUCAUGGAUAAUUCUUCCAAUAGAGAAAUGCGAAAAUGGGAUUGGGAUCACCAAAUUCUGUCCAGAGAUCAUCCAGAAUUAGAGGAAUUGGAUACAAAACACAUCAGCAGUUUUAAAUAUUUAAUACAUUUUUUAAAUUUGCUGUUUUCACCUUAUAGGGUAGUAUAUUAUAUUAUGUGGCUAAUUGUUAAAAUAUAUUAUUAUUUUUUCUAAUAUUUAAUUUUUUCUGAAGUUUUGUUUUUGAAUAU
rnacentral:lncRNA from 1 species